UACACUCCUGCGGGAGGCAGCAGUGGGGAAUUUUGGACAAUGGGCGAAAGCCUGAUCCAGCAAUGCCGCGUGAGUGAAGAAGGCCUUCGGGUUGUAAAGCUCUUUUGUCAGGGAAGAAACGGUGAAAGCUAAUAUCUUUUGCUAAUGACGGUACCUGAAGAAUAAGCACCGGCUAACUACGUGCCAGCAGCCGCGGUAAUACGUAGGGUGCAAGCGUUAAUCGGAAUUCCUGGGCGUAAAGCGUGCGCAGGCGGUUUUGUAAGUCUGAUGUGAAAUCCCCGGGCUCAACCUGGGAAUUGCAUUGGAGACUGCAAGGCUAGAAUCUGGCAGAGGGGGGUAGAAUUCCACGUGUAGCAGUGAAAUGCGUAGAUAUGUGGAGGAACACCGAUGGCGAAGGCAGCCCCCUGGGUCAAGAUUGACGCUCAUGCACGAAAGCGUGGGGAGCAAACAGGAUUAGAAACCCGUGUAGUCC
rnacentral:rRNA from 1 species